rnacentral:rRNA from 1 species
UACGAAGGGGGCUAGCGUUGUUCGGAAUUACUGGGCGUAAAGAGCGCGCAGGCGGCUGGUCAAGUCCGAUGUGAAAUCUCCCGGCUCAACUGGGAAACUGCAUCGGAAACUGAUCGGCUUGAAGGUGGGAGAGGGUAGUGGAAUUCCCGGUGUAGUGGUGAAAUGCGUAGAUAUCGGGAGGAACACCAGUGGCGAAGGCGACUACCUGGCCCAUUCUUGACGCUGAGGCGCGAAAGCUAGGGGAGCGAACGGG